rnacentral:rRNA from 1 species
UAAGGCGGCCAGAGCGGCAGGGCGACACCCGUACCCAUCCCGAACACGGAAGUUAAGCCUGCCAGCGUGCGAGGUAGUACUGGAGUGAGCGAUCCUCUGGGAACACUGGCUCGCCGCCUCCA